GAUGAACGCUAGCGGCAGGCUUAAUACAUGCAAGUCGUGGGGCAGCAGGUUUGUAGCAAUACAGAUGCUGGCGACCGGCAAACGGGUGCGGAACACGUACAGAACCUUCCUUGAGCGGGGAAUAGCCCAGAGAAAUUUGGAUUAAAUACCCCAUAGUAUAAUGAAGUGGCAUCACUUUAUUAUUAAAGAUUUAUCACUCGAAGAUGGCUGUGCGGCUGAUUAGGUAGUUGGCGGGGUAAAGGCCCACCAAGCCUGCGAUCAGUAACUGGUGUGAGAGCACGACCAGUCACACGGGCACUGAGACACGGGCCCGACUCCUACGGGAGCAGCAGUAAGGAAUAUUGGUCAAUGGAGGCAACUCUGAACCAGCCAUGCCGCGUGGAGGAUGAAGGUCCUCUGGAUUGUAAACUUCUUUAUAUGGUACGAAAAAAGGC
rnacentral:rRNA from 1 species